rnacentral:rRNA from 4 species
UGGGGAAUAUUGCACAAUGGGCGAAAGCCUGAUGCAGCGACGCCGCGUGAGGGAUGACGGCCUUCGGGUUGUAAACCUCUUUCAGCAGGGAAGAAGCGCAAGUGACGGUACCUGCAGAAGAAGCGCCGGCUAACUACGUG